rnacentral:rRNA from 1 species
CAAGGAGUUUUCCGCAAUGGGCGCAAGCCUGACGGAGCAACGCCGCGUGGGGGAUGACGCCCUUCGGGGUGUAAACCCCUUUUCUUGGGGACGAAGCAGUGACGGUACCCGAGGAAGAAGGCCCGGCUAACUACGUGCCAGCAGCCGCGGUAAUACGUAGGGGCCGAGCGUUGUCCGGAGUUACUGGGCGUAAAGCGCGCGCAGGCGGCUCGUCAAGCCUGACGUGAGAGCCCCCGGCUCAACCGGGGAGGGUCGUCGGGGACUGGCAGGCUUGAGGUCGGCAGGGGUUGGUGGAAUUCCCGGUGUAGUGGUGAAAUGCGUAGAGAUCGGGAGGAACACCCGUGGCGAAGGCGGCCAACUGGGCCGGACCUGACGCUGAGGCGCGAAGGCGUGGGGAGCGAACG